rnacentral:rRNA from 1 species
CAAUAGCGUAUAUUAAAGUUGUUGCAGUUAAAAAGCUCGUAGUUGGAUUUCUGGUAGGAGUGACCGUUCCGAACUUGAUUGUUCGUGUAUUGUGUUUUCUCCAGCCAUCCUUGUGGAGAACUUUUCUUGCAUUAAUUUGUAGGGAUUGGGACCCGCAUCGUUUACUGUGAAAAAAUUAGAGUGUUUAAAGCAGGCAAUCGCUUGAAUACAUUAGCAUGGAAUAAUAAGAUAGGACUUUGGUACUAUUUUGUUGGUUUGCAUACCAAAUUAAUGAUCAACAGGAACAGUUUGAGGAUAUUCGUAUGAACAUGUCAGAGGUGAAAUUCUUGGAUUUUGAUCAGACGAACUACUGCGAAAGCGUUUAUCAAGGAUGUCUUCAUUAA